GAUGAACGCUGGCGGCGUGCCUAAUACAUGCAAGUCGAGCGAACAGACGAGGAGCUUGCUCCUCUGACGUUAGCGGCGGACGGGUGAGUAACACGUGGAUAACCUACCUAUAAGACUGGGAUAACUUCGGGAAACCGGUGCUAAUACCGGAUAAUAUAUUGAACCGCAUGGUUCAAUAGUGUAAGACGGUUUUGCUGUCACUUAUAGAUGGAUCCGCGCCGCAUUAGCUAGUUGGUAAGGUAACGGCGUACCAAGGCAACGAUGCGUAGCCGACCUGAGAGGGUGAUCGGCCACACUGGAACUGAGACACGGUCCAGACUCCUACGGGAGGCAGCAGUAGGGAAUCUUCCGCAAUGGGCGAAAGCCUGACGGAGCAACGCCGCGUGAGUGAUGAAGGUCUUCGGAUCGUAAAACUCUGUUAUUAGGGAAGAACAAAUGUGUAAGUAACUAUGCACGUCUUGACGGUACCUAAACAGAAAGCCACGGCUAACUACGUG
rnacentral:rRNA from 1 species